rnacentral:rRNA from 1 species
AGCACUGUAGGUGUCAGCCGCCGCGGUAAUACGUAGGGAGCGAGCGUUGUCCGGAAUUACUGGGUGUAAAGGGAGCGUAGGCGGGACAGCAAGUUGAAUGUGAAAUCUAUGGGCUCAACCCAUAAACUGCGUUCAAAACUGUUGUUCUUGAGUGAAGUAGAGGUAGGCGGAAUUCCUAGUGUAGCGGUGAAAUGCGUAGAUAUUAGGAGGAACACCAGUGGCGAAGGCGGCCUACUGGGCUUUAACUGACGCUGAGGCUCGAAAGCGUGGGUAGCAAACAGGAUUAGAUACCCUGGUAGUCCACGCUGUAAACGAUGAUUGCUAGGUGUGGGGGGGUCUGACCCCUUCCGUGCCGCAGUUAACGCAAUAAGCAAUCCACCUGGGGAGUACGGCCGCAAGGUUGAAACUCAAAUGAAUUGACGGG